UGUGGGGUUGGGGCGGCAAUAAGCUCUGAACCUGGUCAGGACCGGGAGGUAGCAGCCAUAAGGGGCCUCUAGUGAGCGCCUACAACCCUUCUAAA
rnacentral:SRP_RNA from 1 species